rnacentral:rRNA from 1 species
GAACGAGAAAGUGGAGCAAUCCAUGAGUAAAGUGGCGACCGGGUGAGUAACACGUGACUAACCUGCCCUUGAGUGGGGGAUAACCUCGGGAAACCGGGGCUAAUACCGCAUAACAUCUUCGGGAUGGAAAGCCGAAGAUCAAAGGAGCAAUUCGCUUAAGGAGGGGGUCGCGGCUGAUUAGCUAGUUGGCGGGGUAACGGCCCACCAAGGCGAAGAUCGGUAGCCGGCCUGAGAGGGCGCACGGCCACACUGGAACUGAAACACGGUCCAGACUCCUACGGGAGGCAGCAGUGGGGAAUUUUGCGCAAUGGGGGAAACCCUGACGCAGCAACGCCGCGUGGAGGAUGAAGUCCCUUGGGAUGUAAACUCCUUUCGACCGGGACGAUAAUGACGGUACCGGUGGAAGAAGCCCCGGCUAACUUCGUG